GACCUAGAGUAAACAUUCCGUUAAUUUUGGGGGCUUAAAACUAUUACCGAAGCUUCAAACAGAAAGAAUUAAUAGUCUUUUUGUGGUAGCAGAACAUUCCGUAGGUUGUUAAAGUUUUGGUGUAAGGCAAAACGAAAAUACCGGAAGUGAGAAUACUUGCAUAAGUAGCAUAAAACAAUGGGAAGCAUUGUGGCCGUAAGUCCAAGGUUUUCGAUCUAAAGUAAAACUAGGUCGGUAGAAGCUUGAGCUUCUAUAAAAAACGGUCCCUAAGCUGUCAAGCCAAAGCUUGAAGUAAUGGGAAAGAUUAUACUGUGAUAAGUAACUGACGAAAAAUUCACUUUAUUUAUGAGUCAAUCAAAGGUAAAUUAUUUUUUCCAAGAAAAAGGUGCUUUAUAUAAA
rnacentral:rRNA from 1 species